GCGAACUCCGUGCCAGCGGGCGCGGGAAUACGGAGGGGGCUAGCGUGGUUCGGAAUUACUGGGCGUAAAGCGCACGUAGGGGGCCUUGUAAGUUAGAGGUGAAAGCCCGGGGCUCAACCCCGGAAUGGCCUUUAAGACUGCAUCGCUUGAACACGGGAGAGGUGAGUGGAAUUCCGAGUGUAGAGGUGAAAUUCGUAGAUAUUCGGAAGAACACCAGUGGCGAAGGCGGCUCACUGGACCGUUGUUGACGCUGAGGUGCGAAAGCGUGGGGAGCAAACAGGAUUAGAUACCCGUGUAGUC
rnacentral:rRNA from 1 species